AUCGAACGCUGGCGGCAGGCCUAACACAUGCAAGUCGAGCGGAGCGGCGGACGGGUGAGUAAUGCCCAGGAAGCUGCCUGGCAGCGGGGGAUAACGUCCGGAAACGGGAGCUAAUACCGUACACUAUCAGCUGAGCUUAGGUCGGAUGAGCUAGUGGGUGGGGUAAAGGCCUACAAAUGCGACGAUCCGUAACUGGUCUGAGAGGAUGAUCAGUCACACUGGAACUGAGACGCGGUACAGACCUCUAGGGGAGACAGCUGGGGAAAAUUUUGGACAAGGCGGAAAAGCCUGAUCCAGCCAUGCCGCGUGUGUGGAGAGGGUUGUGGGAUUAAAAAGCGCUUGUAGUUGGGAGGCGUUACCAACAGGAUAGGCACCGGCUAAUUUCGUGCCAGCGGCCGCGGUAAUA
rnacentral:rRNA from 1 species